CGUUAAAUCUCGGUUCCGGUAACGUUUCUGUUCGCAUGACCUGACUGUUACCGGGAGCGCGGCUGUUCCUGACGCUCCGCCCUGCCGCCGUUACCCGCUGGACGUGAAUGCGGCCAGGUGAGAAGAGGAUCAGGUCACUGCCGGUCUCCAUGACGACACUGCCCACGCAGUCCGAAGGUCACCUGUUCAGACCGAAGCAGGAACAGGUGAGCCGGGUCACGUGGCUGCCCGUCUGACAGCACCCGCAACCCGAUAGGCCGGAGCCCGGCAGUGAUGUCAUCUGAUAGGCCGUAAUCUAGCAACCAGGUGUGACACGGAGGAGCGGAGAAGAAGAAACAGGCGGCAGACGGACAGGUGAGAGGAGA